rnacentral:rRNA from 1 species
GAUGAACGCUGGCGGCGUGCCUAAUACAUGCAAGUCGAACGCAUAGCGAAAGGUGCUUGCACCUUUCAAGUGAGUGGCGAACGGGUGAGUAACACGUGGACAACCUGCCUCAAGGCUGGGGAUAACAUUUGGAAACAGAUGCUAAUACCGAAUAAAACUUAGUGUCGCAUGACACAAAGUUAAAAGGCGCUUCUGCGUCACCUAGAGAUGGAUCCGCGGUGCAUUAGUUAGUUGGUGGGGUAAAGGCCUACCAAGACAAUGAUGCAUAGCCGAGUUGAGAGACUGAUCGGCCACAUUGGGACUGAGACACGGCCCAAACUCCUACGGGAGGCUGCAGUAGGGAAUCUUCCGCAAUGGGCGAAAGCCUGAUGGAGCAACGCCGCGUGUGUGAUGAAGGCUUUCGGGUCGUAAAGCACUGUUGUAUGGGAAGAACAGCUAGAAUAGGAAAUGAUUUUAGUUUGACGGUACCAUACCAGAAAGGGACGGCUAAAUACGUG